AUGCUCUUCACAUGCAAGCCCACCCCCGCGCACGCGGGCCCCGAAACCUGCCUGCAGAUCUUCUCCAUUGAGGUCACGGAGCUCAGCGGGGGCCUCCAGUGGCCGCUGGAGGUCUACGUCCUUGUCGCCACCCGAGACUCGGUGGAUCAUAAUCGCAAUGUCAUCUUCAGGCGCAGGCUGCCCAACCCUAGAAUCGCUCGUUCCCUGUCCCUCCUCCUGUGUGCGGCGCCGCCGCUGCGCACAGGCCACAUCUCCUCGCCCUCCUCCACAUCUCUGGCCAAGGCGCUCACUUCUCCGGCCCUCCUCCACAUCUCCUCGCCUCCACCCCAUCCACUUCCUGUCCAAGACUGUGGCAACGGAGCUCGGUGGCUGCGGCCCUUCUCCAAGACUGCAGCGUGGUGCUCAGCUGCUGCGGCAACGGAGCUGAUGGAGCGCGAGCCGACCAGUUCAACGGAGGCAGUAGCACGGGGCAGCGGCAGCAGCAUGGAGGGCAUCCGCUUGACUGGAAGGGUACAAAUGUUCUUGAUGCAGUUUCAGUACGUGUAUGCAGUUUCAGUCUUCAGCAAUUUGUCUCGUCCAAAUUUAGGAGAGGUCCCUGGUAAAUGGCUCGGCAAAUGCAUAUAUCAUACGGGGUUAAGAAAAAGAUCCCUUCUUGAAGCUCACAGGCCCGUCCCGCACCGUCGUGUUCGCCGCCCCGUCGACGUCGAGGUCCAGCUCAAACUCAAGGGCGGAGCCCCGGAGCGCGAAGACGAAGAGUUCAUCUCCAAAGUUGUGACAUAUGGACGUGAUUUCGGCAGUGACAAUUCCGCCGACGCAGGCAACCAGCACCCCGCGCGCACCACCUGUUCCAGCAGUCGCUGCUCGCUGGAGCUCACCGCCGCCCCGCUCGCCAGGGCGAUCGAGGCCACCGUCAUCUCCGCCGAGGUCACCCAGGGCCGGUGGCCCAAAACCUUAGGAAUCCGCGUCGUCGUCUCCGGCACGACCGGCGCAGACGAGGACUUCGUACUGCUUGACGCUCGAGAUGGGACAUUUCGCGUGGACCUCGCCGACAGCAUCAUCACCCUUACCCGGCAUGUCGUGUGCGUGGAGGAAGGCGGGAGGCUGAAACUUUGCAUAGAGGCCUACAGCAAGAGGACCGGAUGCAUGUACGGAAAAUCUGGGGUCACGGAGCUGAUGCCCAAGAAGGUCCUCCGCCACUAUUGCCGUAUGCAAGCUUGCCUUCUGCACGGUUAA
rnacentral:rRNA from 1 species